rnacentral:rRNA from 1 species
GAUGAACGCUGGCGGCGUGCUUAACACAUGCAAGUCGAACGAUGAAGCCCAGCUUGCUGGGUGGAUUAGUGGCGAACGGGUGAGUAACACGUGCGUAACCUGCCCUUAACUCUGGGAUAAGCCUGGUAAACUAGGUCUAAUACCUGAUAGGAGCGUCCACCGCAUGGUGGGUGUUGGAGAGAUUUAUCGGUUUUGGAUGGACUCGCGGCCUAUCAGCUUGUUGGUGAGGUAAUGGCUCACCAAGGCGACGACGGGUAGCCGGCCUGAGAGGGUGACCGGCCACACGGGGACUGCGACACGGCCCAGACUGCUACGGGAGGCAGCAGUGGGGAAUAUUGCACAAUGGGCGCAAGCCUGAUGCAGCGACGCCGCGUGAGGGAUGACGGCCUUCUGGUUGUAAACCUCUUUCAGUAGGGAAGAAGCGAAAGUGACGGUACCUGCAGAAGAAGCACCGGCUAACUACGUG